GAUGAACGCUGCAGAAUGCUUAACACAUGCAAGUCAACUUGAAUUUGGGUUUUUAACUUAGAUUUGGCGGCGGACGGGUGAGUAACGCGUAAAGAACUUGCCUCACAGUUAGGGACAACAUUUGGAAACGAAUGCUAAUACCUGAUAUUAUGAUUUUAGGGCAUCCUAAGAUUAUGAAAGUUAUAUACGCUGUGAGAGAGCUUUGCGUCCCAUUAGCUAGUUGGAGAGGUAACGGCUCACCAAGGCGAUGAUGGGUAGCCGGCCUGAGAGGGUGAACGGCCACAAGGGGACUGAGACACGGCCCUUACUCCUACGGGAGGCAGCAGUGGGGAAUAUUGGACAAUGGACCAAAAGUCUGAUCCAGCAAUUCUGUGUGCACGAUGACGUUUUUCGGAAUGUAAAGUGCUUUCAGUUGGGAAGAAAAAAAUGCGGUAC
rnacentral:rRNA from 1 species